CCUACGGGAGACAGCAGUGGGGAAUAUUGCACAAUGGGCGAAACCCUGAUGCAGCGACGCCGCGUGAGGGAAGAAGGCUUUCGGUAUGGAAAGCUCUAUCAGCAGGGAAGAAAAGGACGGUACCUGUUUAAGAAGCCCCGGCUAACUACGGGCCAGCAGCCGCGGUAAUACGUAGGGGGCAAGCGUUAUCCGGAUUUACUGGGGGUAAAGGGGGAGUAGACGGCAGCACAAGUCUGGUGUGAAAUGCCGGGGGUUAACCCCCGAACUGCUGUGGAAACUGUGCAGCUAGAGUGGAGGAGAGGUAAGUGGAAUUCGUAGUGUAGCGGUGAAAUGCGUAGAUAUUAGGAGGAACACCAGUGGCGAAGGCGGCUUACUGGACUGCAACUGACGUUGAGGCACGAAAGCGUGGGGAGCAAACAGGAUUAGAUACCCGUGUAGUC
rnacentral:rRNA from 1 species